GUCUAAGUGAAGAAGAAAAAAGUCAAAUGUUAGGUGAUAUAAAAGAAGAUGUAAAAACUGAUGAUUGGGAUGUUGAAAAAGAAUUACAAGAAGAGCUUGAAAGUUUUGAACUUGUGAAUGAAAAAGGUGACCUAAAUGAUGAGGACAAUCAGCAAUGGGAGAAAGAGAUAGAGGAUAUGUUGCAAAUUGGUCAGUAAUCAAGUUGAUUGUAAUGUCAUUUAAUUCGAAAAGGUUGCAACAACAUUUUUUAA
rnacentral:lncRNA from 1 species